rnacentral:rRNA from 1 species
GAUGAACGCUGGCGGCGUGCCUAAUACAUGCAAGUCGAGCGAACAGACGAGGAACUUGCUCCUCUGACGUUAGCGGCGGAAGGGUGAGUAACACGUGGAUAACCUACCUAUAAGACUGGGAUAACUUCGGGAAACCGGAGCUAAUACCGGAUAAUAUAUUGAACCGCAUGGUUCAAUAGUGAAAGACGGUUUUGCUGUCACUUAUAGAUGGAUCCGUGCCGCAUUAGCUAGUUGGUAAGGUAACGGCUUACCAAGGCAACGAUGCGUAGCCGACCUGAGAGGGUGAUCGGCCACACUGGAACUGAGACACGGUCCAGACUCCUACGGGAGGCAGCAGUAGGGAAUCUUCCGCAAUGGGCGAAAGCCUGACGGAGCAACGCCGCGUGAGUGAUGAAGGUCUUCGGAUCGUAAAACUCUGUUAUUAGGGAAGAACAAAUGUGUAAGUAACUAUGCACGUCUUGACGGUACCUAAUCAGAAAGCCACGGCUAACUACGUG